rnacentral:lncRNA from 1 species
GGGGCGUUGGGCUGUAUCUUUCGCGUGAAAGGGAUUCAUCUUAUUGAUAUAUUGUGUGUGAGCAGAUGAAUAGAAGAGUUUGGAGUGCUUGAUGAUCUGUAUGGAGAACGAUCCAAUGGUUAACAUUGUGAAAGAUGAUAAAUUCUUUUGGGUGAAAGAUACCACCUGAACUCUUGAAUUGCAUAAAUUUAGAGGCCACUUGAUAUUGCUUUAAUUUUUUAUUUUAAUUUUUUAAUUAUUUAUACAAUUUCAAAAUUCUUUUGGCAGGAAAUAUUUAUUAUUUUCAAAAUAGUGAGAAUAAAAAUAAGCAAUGGCCAAGAAUAAUAUCUAUACAAUCUCACUUCUAUGAACAACGAGUCUCAAAAACGGGAUUAAGACGGGUCUCAUUCAUAUCCAUAACAGAAAACAUUUUGCUUUUCAAAUGAAACUGUUCGCUCAACAAGAAAUUAAAGGGCCCAAUGAAGUUGGGUCGGAUAGGAUACGAAUUGAAUUGGAUGCGAGUCAGGUCACAUAUGGAUCGGAUUUGAUAUGAGCCAGAUGAAAAAUUUAUCAAUUCGAACCCGACAUGUUUACUAAAUAGAUCAAAAAUUUAGAUUUAA